CUACGAUAAAACGGAACCCGUAGGGGGAUAUGGGAGGAGCGACAUUUAAAGAUCCAGGUGGUGGUUGAGAUUCCGCUAAAAGACACAACAAUAGCGUACCUUCACUGUUGCACUACGUUGCUCGGGUUUCGUAGCCCCUGAGUAAAAUAAAAUAUUAAAAUGCUGGUUUAAUGGAAAGGAUCCAAUAUCUCUUGCAGUAACCACAGUUUCGAUCUCUCCAGAAACCGGGAGAAAACUCUCUGGAAGCGGCAGACACAGCCAAGUUUUACAGAACGAACUCCCCUUUCGUAAUUCAAGACGUUUUGACACGCGUCCACUCAAUCUAAGAUUACAUUGAUUAAGGCGGAUUUAUUAAAUAGAUCUUUGGAAAAAUGUUUAAGAAAAGCAAGAGCAAAGUGUUAGUGGAUUAUGCGUCGGAGGAUGAAAUGUCCUGGCAUCACCAACACACUUACAAGGAUAAGGACCAAGAGGAGCAGGAGGAGGAGGAGGAAGAAGCAUUGAGCACUGUAUCCAAGGAGGAGUUACCCUGCCCGGAGGAAGCCAAGGGCCUCGUCUGGAGCCAGGCCCAGAGGGAGGGCUCGCCAGCAAGCGCCUGGUGUCUGGGUUUGCCUUGGAGCCCGGUCGGGCAUAGCCCGAAAAAGCAACGUGGCACCCCCCUCUCCAUCCUAUGGGCCCACCACUCAUGGGAGGAACCGCUGGGGUCGGGUGUGCUGCCAUAUGGGUGGCAGUGAAGGCCAGGGGCCUUGACGGACCAGACCCAGGCGGCAUGGGCUGGCUCUGGGGACGUGAAACGUCACCUCUCUGUGGGGGUAGGAGCCGGAACUUGUGAGGGAGGGGGAGCGCUAUCAGUUAGAUCUGGUGGGGCUUACAUCCACACACAGUCUCGGUUCUGGAACCGUACUCCUGGAUAGGG
ensembl:lncRNA